rnacentral:rRNA from 1 species
GACGAACGCUGGCGGCGUGCCUAAUACAUGCAAGUCGAACGAGAGCGCCCGGUGCUUGCACUGGUCAAUCUAGUGGCGAACGGGUGAGUAACACGUGGGUAACCUGCCCAUCAGAGGGGGAUAACAUUCGGAAACGGAUGCUAAAACCGCAUAGGUCUUCGAACCGCAUGGUUUGAAGAGGAAAAGAGGCGCAAGCUUCUGCUGAUGGAUGGACCCGCGGUGCAUUAGCUAGUUGGUGAGGUAACGGCUCACCAAGGCCGUGAUGCAUAGCCGACCUGAGAGGGUGAUCGGCCACAUUGGAACUGAGACACGGCCCAAACUCCUACGGGAGGCAGCAGUAGGGAAUCUUCCGCAAUGGGCGCAAGUCUGACGGAGCAACGCCGCGUGAGUGAAGAAGGUUUUCGGAUCGUAAAACUCUGUUGUUAGAGAAGAAUAAGUGCUAGAGUAACUGUUAGCGCCUUGACGGUAUCUAACCAGAAAGCCACGGCUAACUACGUG